rnacentral:lncRNA from 1 species
GUUUUUGUCUUUUCUAGGGCCGCACCUGUGGCAUAUGGAGGUUACCAGGCUAGGGGUCUAAUCAGAGCUGUUGCUGCCGGCCUAUGCCAGAGCCACAGAAACUCGGGAUCCAAGAUCUUCCUGUGACCUACACCAGAGCUCACAGCAAUGCUGGAUCCUUAACCCACUGAGCGAGGCCAGGGAUCGAACCCAAGACCUCAUGGUUCCUAGUUGGAGUUGUUAACCACUGAGCCACGAUGGGAACUCCAAGUGUACUGUCAAUUUUCUACUGCGCAGUGAGGUGACCCAGUCACACAUACAUGUAUACAUUCUUUCUUCUCACAUUAUCAUGCUCCAUCACAAGUGACCAGACGUACUUCCCAGUGCUAUACAGCAGGAUCCCAUUAUUUAUCCAUUCCAAAGGCAAUAGUUUGCAUCUAUUAACCCCAAAUUCCCAGUCCCUCCCAGUCCCUCCCCCUCCCCCUUGGCAACCACAAGUCUGUUCUCCACGUCCAUGAUUUUCUUUUCUGUGGAAAGGGUCAUUUGUGCCAUAUAUUAGAUUCCAGAUAUGUGAUAUCAUAUGGUAUUUGUCUUUCUCUUUCUGACUUACUUCAUUUAGUAUGAGUCUCUAGUUCCAUCCAUGUUACUGCAAGUGGCAUUAUUUUGUUCUUUUUUAUAACUGAGUAGUAUUCCAUUGUGUAUAUAUACCACAUCUUCUUAAUCCAAUCAUCUGUCGAAGGACAUUUAGGUUGUUUCCAUGUCUUGGUUAUUGUGAAUAGUGCUGCAAUGAACAUGAGGGUGCAUGUGUCAUUUUCAAAGAAAGUUUUGUCUGGAUAUAUGACCAAGAAUGGUGUUACUGGGUCAUAUGGUAGUUCUAUGUAUAGUUUUCCAAGGUAUCUCCAUACUGUUUUCCACAGUGAUUAUACCAAUUUACAUUGCCAGCAACAGUACAGGAGGGUUCCCUUUUCUUGUGGGGAGCAAGAUUUACUUAGCCUCUCCAAGCCUCAGUUUCCUCAUCUGUAAAAUGAGGAUCAAAGUAAUAAUAUCCAUCUUAUAGCUGCUAUGAGAAUGGAACACAUGAAGAAAUAAAGCAUUAGCAGCACAGUGAAUGUCAAGGCUGACAUGUAACAAGUGUCCCUGUGUACAGCAGCUGUUGUGAUUGUUAUUACUUACCACCCCCAACAAUAAUAUCCGUUGGCAGCUCACAUCUGCUGGCCAUGAUCCUGUGCAUUACAGAACAUCCUCCUAAGAACUGUGCCCCAUUGAAAAGCCUGGAGGUUUACCUUAAGGCUCCCACAAACAUAAAUCAUCUGUAGUAUUAGUGGAAUGAUGGGCGUUCAAAAGUACAAGAAACCAUUAUGUGCUUGCGAUUGGCUAUUUUAUUACGAGCCCAUAAAGGGUGUUUUGUGAAUAGCCAAAAUAAGCUGCCAGAGUCCGAUAAGGUAUCUCCAUUUCUCAAGGUCUCUAAAUGGACUAGACAGAAAGGCCUCUGUAGAAAAUGACUGCCUGUUUUUAUGGAUUCAAAUCAUAUGAGGGAAAUAGAGGGAGAACCUGGAGGUUCCCUCCCCAUGCAAGGGGCUGGGGAAGCCAGAGAGGACAGGGGGCCAUUAAGCCAGCAGUAAACAGCAUCUGGAUGAGAGAAGAAAAAGAGACAGCCUCUUCUAAGAAGGGCAGAGAGAAAAGGGCAAAGACACAGGAAGGACUCAAGACCCAGCCAAGAUGCAGCCCCUGGAAGCCAGAAGGCAGCUCUCCAUAAAUGAUGGGAAAUCCAAACUUUGCCCACAUAACCUAAGUCGACCUCCCUGAUGUACAUCCUCAAGACCAGGAGAUAAAGACUGAGUCGUGUCCCUGAAAAUGAUGACUUCAAUACAGGUCUGGAGGCAUCUGCCCCUGCCCCCACCUGAGAGAGCAAUGGCACCACCCUAGACAACACUUUCUUCUUCUUUCAAUUCUUUUUUUUCUUUUUUCUUUUUCUUUUUUUUUUUUUAAGAGCUGCAUCUGCUGCAUAUGGAAGUUUCCGGGCUAAGGGUCAAAUCAUAGAUGCAGCUGCCUGCCUGUGCCACACUCACAGCAACCCUGGAUCCAAGCUGCAUCUGCAAUCUACACCACAGCUUGUGGCAAUGCCAGAUCCUUAAUCCACUGAGCCAGGCCAGGGAUGGAACUUGAAUCCUUACAGAGGCUAUGCUAUGUCAGGUUCUUAACCCACUGAGCCACAAUGGAAACUCCUUCCUUCAAUUCUUGACUUGGAUAAGCCUCUUGAAAAAUUAUUUGAAUUUGGGUAAUCAUUAGCCAGUAUGUGAAGAGCUACCAUGAAUCAGAUACUUGGAAGAAUACCUAAGAAUAUAUAACAGGAGCUCCCAUAGUGGCUCAGCAGAGACAAUCUGACUAGUAUCCAUGAGGACGGAGGUUCAAUGCCUGUACUCGCUCAAUGGGUUAAGGAUCAAGUGUUGCCAUGAGCCGUAGUGUAGGUCACAGACAUGGCUUGUGUCUGGCGUUGCUGUGGCUGUGGUGUAGGCCUGCAGCUACAGCUCCAAUUCGACCCCUAGCCUGGGAACCUCCAUAUGCCACAAUGCGGCCCUAAAAAGACAAAAAGACCAAAAAAAAAAAGAAGAAGAAGAAAAGGAUGCGGCUGUCAUCCACAUGCACAGCGCUUGGAGAUCCAUCCAGUUCUUUUGGAAGGAGUAACCAGUUUGGCAAGACUUGGCCCACAACUCCCCACAGUCGCACAUGAGCCCCUGUACUGAAUGGGUGCCACGUGGCACUGACGGUCACUCAAGUGGAGAAGCAGAUGAAAGAUUGAGGACAAAUUACCAUCUCACUAUUGGGAUGAAGAGGUAGGACCUUGUCAGGGUCAGAUUUAUGAGGCUGAUUUAAAAAGAGAGAGAGCAAAUGCACCAAUGGCCAAAAAGGAGUCCAAGUAGGUGGCUUUGAUGUAUGAGUUCCAUCUGCCUAAUUUAUUCCGUGUCUGUAGUCAGCAUGUGAUCGAGAGCCUUGGACAAUGUGAGUGGCAAGUCAGGAAGGGGGCUGACAGUAGGGGAGAUGUUGCUUAGUGUUUUCCAGCCAGGCCACCAUGUGCCCUUAUGAGACCCGUGGAAACAAAAACACAACAGAGAAGGAUUUUCUCCAAAGAAUCCUGGAGGUUAGCCAAAAGAGAUCCUUGAAGUUGUAGACCUUGAAGUUGAAUCCCAACUUCAGGACUUUCUAAAUAUUUAGGGAAAUUCUUUCAUUUCUCAAUUUUUUUCCCCUGAAAUCUGCCUGGCUCUUUUUGCCCUGAACAUUGUGUGUGUGGUUUUAAUUAGUGAGCUUUUUCCAUGCUCACUCAGCAAUCUACCCUUUUCCCUACCAAUCACUUUGCAAAGAAGCCCAGGUGCUUUGUGUCAAUAAAAUGAGAAUUGAAAAUGGCUCUCACAGCAGUAUUGUUAACUGGGUUUAUAGAACACCUUUUUAAAGGUUAUAUUUGGAUAGCAGUGACAGCAAACUAGAUAUAGAAUCCUGACUGGGAAGGGCAACCCAAAAUAGAGCCAGGAUCAGGACUGAGGUUGUCUGGGGUUCCUGGGAUCUGAAAAGAGAUUUGGAGAAGAGAAGCUACAGAAAGUGUUCUCAAGACAAAAGAAAAAGAGAUGACAAUAACGAAGAGUGCAUGGUCAAGAGAUGUUAGCUACGUGCUAUUAUUCUAUAAAUUUGUAGGUAAAAACUGCCCAAGAUAAGCAGUAAGCACAGGUCAGAAUGGGCUGGAACAAUUAUUUCCCAGGCUGGUUCAGUGUAGGUUUAGGUAUUUAAUGGUUUGAAUGGCUUAUGCUUAGAAGAAUGGCCAUUUCCAUGGUUUCCCUGGUCUUCUUGCCUACUGCUUGCCACCUCUUAGUCAUGGAGGUUUAUGGAUUUAUAGAACGAUAGUACAUAACUGACAUUCCUUGAUCGCAUACUAUUUGCCAGGCAUUGUUCUAAGCACUUUAUAUGUUUUUUCAUUUAAUCCUUGUAUGGAGUGGCAGUAAGUGGAUGGAUUCCAGAUGGGUAUUGAAGAUAGUGUCAGCAGGAUUUGCUAGUGCACACAAUGUGUGCUGAGAGAGAGAGGAAGGGACUAUGUGGAAUUGUCAUCGAUGAACAUGAGGCAGCUAUGGAAAGGGUAAGUUAGAACAGUAACACUCUCAGGAGAUAGGUUUGGGAUGCACUAAGUUGGAAUGCCUGUUAGGUAUCUAAGAUGCUGAGUGAGCAACUAGAUAUACACAUCUAGGGUUCAGGGAAGGAUUUCAGGCUAAAGAUAUAAAUUUGGGAGCCACAGGAUCCACAUAAAGAUAGUACCUUAACCAUGAGAUUAGAUGACAUCAUCCAGGGAGUGAGUGUUGACAGAAAGAAAAGAGGGCCAAGGACUAAGACAUGGGAAACUGCUGUAAUUUGAGAUCUGGGGGAUGCGUAGGAACCAGCAAAAGAGAAUGGAAGGGUGUGACCAGAGAGAGAGGAGAGGGUAGAAUCUGAGAAGCCAAGAGAAGAAAGUGUUUCAAAUAGGAGAGAGUCAUUAAGGUCUCAACGUUUCUGAUAGGUCAAGCACGAUGAAAGAUGAGACUUGAGCAUUGGAGUUAGCCAAGUGGAAAUCUUUGGCGACCUUAAUAAGAGCAUUUUCAGCAGAGUGUUGGGGAUGUAAGCUUGACUGGAAUGCAUUCAAGACAGAAUAGGAAGAGAGAAGUUAGAGCAGUGGAGAUCACUUUUCAAGGAAUUUUGCUGUAAAGAGAAGGAGAAAAAAUGAGUAAUAUUUAGAAGUGGCAGUUGGAUUAAAAGAGGGUUUGUUUUCUUGAAGAUGAAAAGAUAACAGCAUGCUUAUAUA